UUUCUAGGUUUCGUCGUAAACCUAAUUGGUUACUUCCAAUUACGUAAAUCAAUAGUUCAAACCGCACUCAAAGGUAGGGCAUUUCCCAUUGAUAUAGGAACUUUUGUACCAGAAACAAUAGUAUCUCCAA